AUUCCAGCUCCAAUAGCGUAUAUUAAUGUUGUUGCAGUUAAAAAGCUCGUAGUUGGAUUCCUGGCUCGGGGUAACCGGUCCGCCUUGCAAAAGGUGCGCACUGUGUGGCCUCGGCCAUCCUUGGGAAGAGCGGCUCUGGCAUUCGGUUGUCGGGGUCGGGAUUCCCGACGUUUACUGUGAAAAAAUCAGAGUGUUCAACGCAGGCUUACGCCUUGAAUACAUUAGCAUGGAAUAAUGAGAUAGGACCUUGGCGGUCUAUUUUGUUGGUUUGCACGCCGAGGUAAUGAUUAACAGGGACGGUUGGGGUUCUUCGUAUUCAAUUGUCAGAGGUGAAAUUCUUGGAUUUAUGGAAGACGAACUGCUGCGAAAGCGUCGAACAAGGACGUUCUCAUCA
rnacentral:rRNA from 1 species